CCGAAGGCAGGUUCGAUAACUGGGGUGAAGUCGUAACAAGGUAGCCGUAUCGGAAGGUGCGGCUGGAUCACCUCCUUUCUAAGGAA
rnacentral:rRNA from 1 species